AGUUCUAGAAUCUGAUCCCCGAGUCUGGGAUUAUUCCACUGUAUCACACUGACACCUCCAUGAAAAAAUACAAAGGCAAGGUCAAGAGUGAAGAGGGUGAGAGCUUUCAGCCUCAGAAGGAAUCCAGGGGCAAAACGCAUUGUGGUCACUGUUAAGGAAAAAUAACAUUCGGAGGAGUCUGGUAAGUCUCCUAUAGGCAGCUCUUCCCGAUGUCCCUAGUUCAUGAGGCUGGCUCUCUCUCUCUCUCUUUCUGUCUGUCUUUGUCUGUCUGUCUCUCUCCCUCCCUGUCUGCCUCUUCCUGUCUGUCUGUCUGUCCCUCCCUCUGUCUGUCUUUCUCCCUGUCUGUCUGUCUCUCUCCCUCCCUGUUUGUCUGUCUUUCUCCCUGUCUGCCUCUCCCUUUCUGUCUGUCUGUCUCCCUCUCUGUCUACCUGUCCCUCCCUCUGUCUAUCUUUCUCCCUGUCUGCCUCUUCCUUUCUGUCUGUCUGUCCCUCCCUCUGUCUGUCUCUCUCCCUCCCUGUCUGUCUAUCUUUCUCCCUGUCUGCCUCUUCCUUUCUGUCUGUCUGUCCCUCCCUCUGUCUGUCUGUCUCUCUCCCUCCCUGUUUGUCUGUCUUUCUCCCUGUCUGCCUCUCCCUUUCUGUCUGUCUGUCCCUCCCUCUGUCUUUCUCCCUGUCUGUCUGCUUCUCCCUCUCUGUACAUCUGUAUGUGUAUGUGUGUGUGUGUGUCCCUCUCCCCCCUGCUCCCCGCUCCCUCGUCCCUCCCUCCCUCCCUCUCGCGCUUCUUUCGGGCUCACUCUGGCUCUCUGGCUCUCCCUCCCUCCCUCUCUCUCUCUCUCUGUCUCUCUCUCCCUCUCUCUCUCUCAGUGUGUCUCCUCUCCUGCGCUCUCCAUCCUGCACUUCCUCGCAUCCUCCCUCCCUCCCUCCCCCCCCAGCCAGCUUUCGGAGGGUAAACAAUGUUUGCUGUCGUUGUGGUGGUUGUCAUUGUGGUCUUCGUGGUCCUGGUCGUGGUUGCUGUCUUUAUUGUCGUCGUCUCGGAAUACCAGGUGCCUAUAGACCAGGGCACGAACUUAAAUGCUUGUUGAAGGCAGGAAGGAAGGGAGACUGCAGGCGGGAGAGCUCACUUGGAGCCGCGAGCGAGCGAGCCGAGAGGAUCGGAGACGCCUCUGAGGCAGCCGGGAAACGAGCUGAGCUGGGGAGGAAGAGCCGCGGAUUUCAACAGGCGGAGACAGCCCCGAACCUCGCGGACACGCUCGUGGCAUAAAGAGGAGAAGGACUAAGCUUUGGCCGUUUCCCCAGCGGUGGCGGAGGCGGCGUCGUCGAGGGAAGAGCGGAGCCGAUCGCUCGCUGGAUCGGGGCAUCAACAGGUAAGCCCAUUUCUAGGAACUCGGCUGGGAAGGGAACCGCCCCGCCGCCGCCGCCGCCGCCGGCAGCUCUGUGGGACCCCCGACUCCCUGCGGCCGG
rnacentral:lncRNA from 1 species